AGGAGCCGUGUGCGAUGAAAGUCGCAAGCACGGUUCUGAAUGGGAGUUGGGGGUUGUAAAGCCCCCCUCGACCCCUAAU
rfam:Planktothrix tepida PCC 9214 isolate BBR_PRJEB10993 genome assembly, scaffold: BBR_B_PL9214_scaffold26